rnacentral:lncRNA from 1 species
AGUAUCUGUUAUUUAAUUAUAAGGAUUUAUUAUGGAAUGGGAGGAGGCAUACUAACAAAUCCCAUCUGGGGCUAAUUAAAAAGAACUGUGUUCCUGAGUAUAUGUGGUUUUUCUUUUUUUCAAGAGGGGAACAGAUCCAGCAACAUUUUGGCUCAUGAACAUGGCACGGUUUAAUAGGAGCCAGGUGACUGAGACAUCUCUGUGCUAUUUCUGAGAAAGCAAGCUGGUCCAUCACCUUUAAUGCAGGAGAAAUGAAGUUUCCUUCCAGCAUUAGCCCUGGUGCGUGGAUUUGUACCUGUGCCUAGAUUUGUCACACUUUUUUUAAAAUGGACAUUCCCAAUGAAAAUAUCCUUUUGGAACAGAGGGAAUAAAAAGACACCCAAAUUACUGCUUUGGGAAUAAAUGCAUCAGUUUGCAAUAAAUUUACAGGGUUUCCAAGAGUGGCCACCCACAGAGGAAGCAACAUCUUGUCCCGCUGUCACAACGGGAGAGCACAGUGCUUGAGCACAAGGCAAACAGAAUGUUCCUUAUGCCUAGAGGGAAGGUACAGAGUUAGACUGGACUCACUAGCGAUAGAUCUCCUCAGGCCUAGGAAUAUGUGAGCUGGUUUUAUGCAGGGCCCUAGGUGUACUUGUUCUUGUUCUGUGACACUUUAGCAAUUUCGAAACAGGCACAUUAUCAGAAAAAUAUGAAUCUCUACAGAGAUUUGUUGCAUAUUUUCAGAUCACAAGUAGAAUAAAUUAGUAUGUUUUAAGACUAAUAAAGAAACUCUAUUCUUGGAAAUACAUUUAGUUGUUCUCUAUUAUCCAUGAAAGAUAAUAUUUAUCAAUUUAUUCACUCAUGCAUUCAUUUAUUCAUCAAAGGUUAACCAUGUGAGCUGGGUGCAGACACAUGUAAUCCCAGCAAUUUGGGAGGCUGAGGCAGGAGGAUUACAAGUUGGAGGUCAACCUGGGCAACAGGAGGCCCUGUCUCAAAAUAAAAAAAUAAAAAAGUCUGGGGAAGUGGCUCAGUGAUAGUGUCUCUGGGUUCAAUCCUCGGUACCAAAAAGAAAAAAAAAGUGUGACACAGGCCCCCCAUGUAUCAGGAUUUGUGAUACAUGUUUGGGACUCAGAUACUGUGGUUUAGAUAUGAGGUGUCCACCAAAAGCUCAAGUGUAAGACAAUACAAGAAAGUCUAGAGGUAAACAGUAAGUUAUGAGAGGCGUAAUCUAAUCUGUGUAUUAAUCCAGUAAUGAAGAUUAACUGGGUGGUAAAUGUAAGUGGGUGGGGAGUGGAUGCAGGAGGUGGAUCAUGGGCAGGGGGGGUGUGUUUGAGUUUUUUUAUUUUGCCCUAGUGAGCAGAGCAUGCACACCCCACCACCCCUUUCCUGUUAGCCAGGUUCUGAACUGCUUUCCUCCUCCAUGCCCUUCCACCAUGACACUCUAUGGUGGAAGAGCAACGGAGCUGGCCAUCUAAGAACUGAGACCUCUGAAACUGUAAGCCAAAAUAAACACUUCCUCCUCUUCAUUGUUUUUGUCAGGUCUUUUGGUCAUGGCAGCACAAAGCUGACUGAAACAACAGAGAAGAACAAGAGACAGACUGAAUCCACCCUCAGAUAUAGCUCAAAGACAAGGAGAGAUUCAUAGAAUUAAGUAAUUGUGGCAUAGUGCACUUCUAGGAGCCACGAGAAGCAACACCUAACCAGCCUGCAGGCAUCUGGGAAAGCCUCCUGGGGGAGGUGUCCUCUGAGCUGGGCUCUGCAGCAGAAUCAGGAGUUAGUCUCCAGAAAUUUGUAUUUACAUAAUAUCCCUCUGCUGUGUAACACGAGAAGAGACUAAACAACUAAGUGGAUAUUAUGUGUGGGGAUGGAGACAUUGGGGUGGUAAGUAAAGAAUGAGAACCUAAAUAUUUAAACUGGAAUAUUCAAGAGAGAGUACAGGCCAGUGCAGGCUCUGGCUUCAGUUGACAGAGGUUGGAUCUCUGCCACUUCCUAGGUGUAUGAACCUGAGUAAGUUGCUUAGCAUUUGUCAGAUCCAGAACCUCACAGGGUCUUUAGGCUUCAAUGAAAGAAUAUGUG